rnacentral:lncRNA from 1 species
UUUUUGUUGUUAUUUUAGUCUUUGCACACGUCAUGUCGACCUCAUUGGCUGUCAGUCCUUGCCAUUACUCCAUUUAUGAAUUUGAGAGUAGUUUCCCUCAGUUUACUAAAUAGUGGCUGGGUCAGGUUCUUGAUUUUGCCUCGUGCCUUUUUGUGCCUUGCUUUUCUCAAAGGCUUAUAGCAUCAAGGUGAAACUGAUUACUCCGACAACAAAUCCUUCUGGCCACGGGGUGGCGUCAUACACCACGAAUGUCUAUAUUUGCGUUCUCUUCCAGCGCGCACACUCUAGGGUCCGCCCCGCUCCAUACACCUGUCCUACCUGCGCACUUAUCUGGAUGAUAAAAUAACCGUUUCUUUCAGACAUAAAUCGUUUCUCAUCAAGUAAGCAACCCGGCUAAUUCCCAACGUCCACUGUGUAUAUUUGGCUUUUAUUUUAAAAACGUUAGGCUACCAGUUUGAUACAUCAUGGAGAAAAAACCAAUCAUAUUUGGGAUUAUUCUUACUUUGGCUGUUUCAGCGCUCCUUUUCUUUGAUGAUGUUGUGCCUGUUUCCCAUUUACGGAGGGCAACACCCAGCAGCAAUGUCAAGACCACCCCAGCUACGCUGUCCACCUACUACAUAUGCGUCAGAAUCACCAACCGGAUUUACACUGAGUCACUCAAUAAUCAAAACUCUAAGGAGUACAAACAGCUGAGGAAACAGGUGGAGCAGAUGAUGGAUGACGUCCACAGCCCUUUGUCAGAGUCUGCCAAAUAUAUGGGUGUAUUUGAUAUAAUCUUCAGUAAUGGAUCCGUCAUUGCAAACUCGACAGUAAGGUUUGGGACUACAUUGAUGAUAACUCCAACUUUGGUUAAAGGUCUAUUUUCCACUCAUAUCCAAUCAAAUAAAUCCAAAACCCUUGACCUGGACCUCGCCUAUACUGAAGGUCAACUUCCAAUAAAAGCCACACUACCUCUUGUGGCACGUACCACAGCAACCGUAGCUGCCUUAGAUAGUACGGCUAGCCGUUCAGGAUGGGCUGGGGAUGCAACUACAUCUACAGCAAUUACUUCAUCUGGCAACAUCACAAGUAGUCAUACCCUCACAACCACCACCACUAGUCCUGACAAAAACACUACAACUAGCAACACAACCACCCCUAGUCCUGGAGAGCAUAACACUACAACUAGCAACACAACCACCCCUAGUCCUGGAGAGCAUAACACUACAACUAGCAACACAACCACCCCUAGUCCUGGAGACCAUAACACUACAACUAGCAACACAACUAACCCUAGUCCUGGAGAGCAUAACACUACAACUAGCAACACAACUAACCCUAGUCCUGGAGAGCAUAACACUACAACUAGCAACACAACCACCCCUAGUCCUGGAGAGCAUAACACUACAACUAGCAACACAACCACCCCUAGUCCUGGAGACCAUAACACUACAACUAGCAAAAUAACCCCCCCUAGUCCUGGAGAGCAUAACACUACAACUAGCAAAAUAACCCCCCCUAGUCCUGGAGAGCAUAACACUACAACUAGCAAAAUAACCCCCCCUAGUCCUGGAGACCAUAACACUACAACUAGCAAAAUAACCCCCCUAGUCCUGGAGAGCAUAACACUACACCUAGCAAAAUAACCCCCCUAGUCCUGGAGAGCAUAACACUACAACUAGCAAAAUAACCCCCCCUAGUCCUGGAGAGCAUAACACUACAACUAGCAAAAUAACCCCCCCUAGUCCUGGAGAGCAUAACACUACAACUAGCAAAAUAACCCCCCUAGUCCUGGAGAGCAUAACACUACAACUAGCAAAAUAACCCCCC